GUUGGGGUGGGUGUGAUGAAAAUUAUGCCGAGAUCCGUAGAAUAUUUCUGCGUAACUGGAGGAGCUGUGGUGAUGGAUUUCACUUUCAUCUCCGUAUGUGCUCGAUUCAAUUACCUUAACUUGUUGCUGUUGGUCAGGUUGUGAAUCAUUACACAUUGGAGAUAACAACACGCUAGAGUCGAAAUGUCAUAUUGGUGUGAAGUCAGCCAUGACUAGUGGUUGUGUUCUGGGAGCAUGUUGUCAUCUGACCAGUCAAGAAACACUGCCUGAGAAUACGGUAGUGUUUGGCGAGGGCAAUGUGCGUCGAGUGCAAGGUGAUAAGCCCACGGCACCGACAUUACAGCUGGACUUCCUAACGAAGAUAUUGCCAAACUACCAUUACCUGCAGACUUCGCAGUCGGCAGCCCCAGCAGCACCAGCAACAUCUUGACCAAAGUUAUCCUUGUCGUAUCCACCCUAUGUAGUCGUCUGAUUUUGCUGCAAACCAACAUUUGGCUCAACUUCUGCGAAAACCAGGCUUAGGGUGAAAAUCAUUUUUUUGAGAAAAAUGAUGUUUUGUAAAAAGGUUGUGUCGCGUGGACGCUCGAGUGCAGUGAAGUGGAACCAAAGAGAAUCUCGCUUGUUUGAAGAAGUAGCAGUCAUGGCAGGAAGGGUUUCAGCAGUCAGGGAAGUCAAAGGGCUUCCGGUAGAAUAUUCCCUGCUACUCCUCUAGUCACAACGAAGAGUUUUUGAGCUGAUCGAACGGAUUCCAUCUCCUUCACUCAGGGAUGGCGAAAUUUCUGCGCUAGCUGCUGCUUGCGGAAAUGGUGAAGAAAUCGUCUCCAGUUAGAGUCGUGAUGGCGAUAGCGAGGAGAACCUGGACGGCAUCGACCCAGCCACUCGAAGUAUGGAGAUACUAGCUGUUUCUGGGCAUCACGCAAAGGGAACACGCGCAGCAGAGCUCAUACGUUUGCAUCAAGUUCACGAGGAAAAAGGCUAGAAGCGCAGUGUGAAAACUGUUUUGAAUUGAAGUCCUUGGCGAUGAAGUGCUACUGAAUGCCAGGCGAAUGAGCGAGCAGAUCGAGAGGCCUCCUCUCGAGACUUUCCUCGCUGGACAGUUAGCUGCAAGGGAUUGUACGGCGUGCCGAGAUUUCACUUGCUGGUCAGCACCAAGCAGACGCUGCAGCACGCCAGCACACUAUCACUAUGCGCAUACUACGAACAGUGGAACAGUUUGAAAGGCUGUGUUCUUGCUUGUUUUUGAAUAGUUGUACUAGAUUCACCCUUCAAAAGGUGCCAUCUCAACUGGAGUCGGGUUUCCUUGUGGUGUGUAGCGCCAGAGCAUGCCAGCACAUGUAUGCAGCCCCAGAAUGUGCUGAGUGAGGAGCAAACAAAAUUCAUGCAGAACUGUGCAUGGCCACUACAGCCUGCAGCACCAAGGCCAGGGGCCACAACAAGCCUGCCCCCACAUGUCUACCUUGUCAUGUCACCUAAACAAAAAUCAUCCAUGUCUCUUCCUUCACUCUGGUGGAUCUCUCUUCAUUUCUUUCCUGUGAUAACAAUUUUGUGUUUUUUUUGGAUUUUUUAACACAAUACCCUGGUGUGUUUGAGAUACUUUUAAUACCACUAUGAGUCGACCCACACCUGUAAUAUUUUGUUUCCUGACCUCCCAUGCCCAGUAGAAGCUGAAAAUGGGAAAAAGUCAUUUUGUGAAAUUUCA